AAAGGAAAGGUGUGGAUCCAU
rnacentral:miRNA from 1 species